GUGAAGGUGUAUGGCUGGUGGUUGCUGGUGGCUGAGAGUGUUUGAGUAUAUGCUGAGUGUAAGUGUGUGUAUGAAUGAGUGUAAAGAGAGAGUGAAGUUACCCUUAAACUCUGGAUCCUUGGUCUAUUUAUAGGCCAAGGAUUAGGGUUUAAGGGUGCGUACCUGGAUCCUGGUCCUACACGUGUAAGGGUUUGAUCCCCUACACGUGUCCAGGUGUCAGCGUAGGAGUAGUAUUUUGGAAUGUUCCCUGGCUUGUCUCUAUCGCCAGUAGUUGACCGUUAUGUUUUGUCUUCAUUGUGUCAGUCUGUGACUUGUGCAGCAAGUGUCGGCUGGUACAAAUGUAUCCGGGUGGGUAGCAUGUUCUCAGGUGUCCGGGUAAAUUAUGUUGUCCGGGUGGCAUGACCUGGUAAGCCUGGGGGAUGUCCCAAGGUGUUGGCGGCCACCCGGGGUAUGGACUCCUCUAAAGGACCCGGGUAUUGCUGAAUUAGGUUACACCC
rnacentral:lncRNA from 1 species